UACGAAGGGGGCUAGCGUUGCUCGGAAUUACUGGGCGUAAAGCGCACGUAGGCGGCUUUUUAAGUCGGGGGUGAAAUCCUGGAGCUCAACUCCAGAACUGCCUUCGAUACUGGAGAGCUUGAGUCCGGAAGAGGUGAGUGGAACUCCGAGCGUAGAGGUGAAAUUCGUAGAUAUUCGGAAGAACACCAGUGGCGAAGGCGGCUCACUGGUCCGGUACUGACGCUGAGGUGCGAAAGCGUGGGGAGCAAACAGG
rnacentral:rRNA from 1 species